UACGGAGGUGGCUAGCGUUGUUCGGAAUUACUGGGCGUAAAGGGCGCGUAGGCGGCUUUGCAAGUCGGAUGUGAAAGCCCCGGGCUCAACUCGGGAAUUGCAUCCGAAACUGCUUUGCUUGAGUCCUGGAGGGGGUAGUGGAAUUCCCAGUGUAGCGGUGAAAUGCGUAGAUAUUGGGAGGAACACCUGUGGCGAAGGCGGCUACCUGGACAGUGACUGACGCUGAGGCGCGAAAGCUAGGGGAGCGAACGGG
rnacentral:rRNA from 1 species